AUUCCUAUGACAGAAAUGAUUCAAGUAAUUGUGAGUAGUAAGCCAGGCGCACAGCAGGACCACUGCAGGGGCAACCACCAUCACAUAGAACCACCAUCAGAUAGAACCACCAUCAGAUAGGACCACCAUCUACAGAAGCCUGUGGGGAGGGAGAGCACAGAGACUUUAGGAGAGGCAGCAGGCGUCAGCAGGGCCACGGUAGGUGUCAGGACCAGGGUCCAGAAGGAACUACGAUCUAGAGAGACCUGCU
ensembl:lncRNA